AAUAAAGAAAAAGUUAAUUAUAAAAACAAUAGGUAAAAGAAAACUAGAGAGUGCUAUAGAAUAUUCAAAAGAAUCCCAAUUUGUAGCUUUUAUUUAAUUGAAGACUUUAAAAGAUCUUUGAGCUCAUUUUUUUCCCCUUUAAUUUGGCCACUGCUAAUCAAGCAUUUGGUGUUUGAAAAUGGAGCAUAACUCCCAAAUCCAAAUUCCUAAAGUAAAGUUGGGUACACAAGGGCUUGAGGUCUCGAAACUAGGCUUUGGUUGUUUAGGACUUUCUGGAAUAUUCACAUGAAGCUGGAUGCUCAAUCUUAAAGGAAACAUUCAAUAAAGGCAUCACCUUCUUUGACACAUCCGAUUUACAUGGGCAUGAAGGCGACAACGAAAUAAUGAUUGGAAAGGCACUAAAGCAGCUUCCUCGUGAGCAACUCCAACUGACAACCAAGUUUGGGUUGCUAGUUUCUGAGGGGUUCCAGUUUCAUGUCAAAGGCACUCUGGAAUAUGUACGGAAGUGUAGACUACAUCGAUCUAUAUUAUCCUCACAGAAUAGAAUAGACACAACUGUGCCAAUAGCCCUCUCGGCCACGGUUUCUUUGCUGGGAAGGCAGUCACAGAAAGCUGGAAGUAUAAUGGUAAG